rnacentral:miRNA from 1 species
GUGUGUGUGUGUGUGUGUGUGUGUGUGUGCACGCACGCGCGCGCCAUGGAUUCCUGCACAGG